rnacentral:rRNA from 1 species
UUGGUGGGGUAAUGGCCUACCAAGGCGACGACGGGUAGCCGGCCUGAGAGGGCGACCGGCCACACUGGGACUGAGACACGGCCCAGACUCCUACGGGAGGCAGCAGUGGGGAAUAUUGCGCAAUGGGCGAAAGCCUGACGCAGCGACGCCGCGUGAGGGAUGAAGGCCUUCGGGUUGUAAACCUCUUUCAGCAGGGACGAAGCGAAAGUGACGGUACCUGCAGAAGAAGCACCGGCUAACUACGUGCCAGCAGCCGCGGUAAUACGUAGGGUGCAAGCGUUGUCCGGAUUUAUUGGGCGUAAAGAGCUCGUAGGCGGUUUGUCGCGUCGGAUGUGAAAACCCAGGGCUCAACCCUGGGCCUGCAUUCGAUACGGGCAGACUAGAGUAUGGCAGGGGAGACUGGAAUUCCUGGUGUAGCGGUGAAAUGCGCAGAUAUCAGGAGGAACACCGGUGGCGAAGGCGGGUCUCUGGGCCAAAACUGACGCUGAGGAGCGAAAGCGUGGGGAGCGAACAGGAUUAGAUACCCUGGUAGUCCACGCCGUAAACGUUGGGCGCUAGGUGUAGGGGACCUUCCACGUCCUCUGUGCCGCAGCUAACGCAUUAAGCGCCCCGCCUGGGGAGUACGG